UUCAAGCUGGUUCUUCGGGGACCUGAGCGGCGCCCUGCCCGAGUGAGAACCGGUUGAGAGAGGAGCAGGGUGUUCCCCCGCCACCCCCUCGCCGCGACCUGUGACCCUGCCUCCGCUGGCUGGGGAAUCUCUCGCCACCUACGGGCUUGCCUGCGUUGAGCGUCUCCACGACCAGUGAGAGAGCCUUGCCUGAGGCAAAUCUAGGGCGGGACUUUGAAGCUCGUGCUGUGCAAAAGUGGACCCGUGCGGGCCGGCGGGCCAGGUUCAAGGCGUCUGUCGCCGGUGAGGAUGACCACGGACGUGUCGGUCUGGGUGUCGCCGUCUGUGACCAUUUCAGUUUAUCUUGACGGGUUCAAAGAGGUGAUCUGGAGGGUGUAAAAGUUCAUUACAGCAGCCCAGGGACUGGAAAGUUCUUUGUGCAGACGAACAGCUCAGGCAGUGAUUCCCCCUGGGGAACCUGCCAGGGUGCAGCUUCCCCGGCUCCCACCUCCCAGAUCCUGAUUCUGCAGUGAAGCUGAGGAAACGACGCUUUCACCAGGUGAUCCAGAUGCAGGUGGUUCCUAAACUAGGUCUGCGAAACGGGUUUAUGCCCAGUGCUCCUGUUGGGCUUGCAGCUGGGAAUGGUGCUCCGCCGGAAUCCCGCGCCACACAGGUGUAGCCCGUUUACACACCCUUGGCGCUGUGGUGGGUCUCGUCAUUGGCUUCUUUGGGGGGGGGGUAAGCAGCAAUUCAAUGUCAGGUCCCAUCUUCCUUCCCUCCCCAGCUCAUCCGAACCAUCUCAGUAAAACCCACCUGGCUGGAAAGUCGGUCCCUGCCACCAGCUGCCACCAGCCGUGACCAGUCCGUGACCUUGCACUAUCUGGGCCUAUCUGAUCAGCUGCUGCUUAGAGCAGACCUUGGGGAAGGUCAAGGACUAGGACUUAGGGGACAGUUCCUGCCAAGAGUGGGUGACUAACGAAACAAGUUUGAAAGGUCACCGCCAGCCUCCCUCACCUGCUCUCCCGUGUGCUGUCGAGGCUUCACCCGUCUUUAUUUAUGCAUAGGCUCCGCUUAGCCAAAUCCCAUCCUUUUCCAAGGGCAGGCAGCUCAGCAGGUUCUGACCCCUUUGGCCACGCCGAGCCCAUGGGAAGUGAUUCCGGAAAAGGCUGCAGCCAGGAGUGACCUUUCUCCCCUGUUCGCCCAAAGUGCGUCUGCAGCUCUCCUGUAAGAGUGCUUCUCACGUUAUCUGCAUGCGUGUUGACCUCUCUCCUGGAUCACAGACGCCUCUUAGCCGCUUUGUCUUCAGACGGAACUUACUGUGCAUGAGGAACGGGAAGAUACGGGCUUACACGUGCUUAAACUGAGGAAGUUUCCAGGUAGCUGCAUUUUCCUCUGUGGGCUUAGUUUUGUCUUCGGUCACCGUUUUCCGAGCCCUUUCCAAUAGCUUAUUCCUCAUCGUCCAGUGUGCUCGUAAGUUCACGGGGAAAGAGAGACCUGGAAUCUUCGUAAAGCUUCGACUGGGUCUGAGGAUUCUGACCCGCUGACACUUCAUGCUGGAAACAAACCCUUGUUCUUGGAACAGCGGGGCCCUCGCUGACAUCAGCACAGCCACCGAAUCUGUGUAGCUGGACCACCCUCCCAGGUUCUGAGACGACUUCUCGUCUGUGAAUCUACUGAACUUAUUGCGUUGGAAUUUUUUUUUUUUUUUUUUUUUGUCUUUUGAGG